UCUCUAUAAUCAUUUAAUUUUUCUUUUUGGAAAAUGUAUGUAUACAUACACACAGUUUCCAUAAAAAAACAUAGAUAGUAAAGCUGAUUAAAAUCUUCCUGUCCUAUUGGUACCAGCACAUGAAGCCCUUCUACAAAAUUCCUGACUGACUGGGAAUAAAAAUUCCUAGUGACAGCCCACUCCUUCUGAGGCAGGUCUGAUUGUUUGAAAUCUCUCCCAAUAUUGAGAUGAAACCUGCUUCCCUGUAACUUCCCUGUAAUUCUGUGGGUCCCUUGUAGCCACAGAGAAGGCAGCAAUCAGUAGGGGAAGUGCUAUAAAAAUAUACUAUCCCGGCCAAGCGUGGGCCUGGGUCCCAAUCCCACACCCUCUCUUGACACCUAGCCCUAGCUCCACUCU
rnacentral:antisense_RNA from 1 species